rnacentral:rRNA from 1 species
CAGUCGCCGCGGGAAUACAGAGGGUGCGAGCGUUAAUCGGAUUUACUGGGCGUAAAGCGUGCGUAGGCGGCUUCUUAAGUCGGAUGUGAAAUCCCUGAGCUUAACUUAGGAAUUGCAUUCGAUACUGGGAAGCUAGAGUAUGGGAGAGGAUGGUAGAAUUCCAGGUGUAGCGGUGAAAUGCGUAGAGAUCUGGAGGAAUACCGAUGGCGAAGGCAGCCAUCUGGCCUAAUACUGACGCUGAGGUACGAAAGCAUGGGGAUCAAACAGGAUUAGAUACCCCCGUAGUCCCUGUCUCUUAUAC